rnacentral:rRNA from 1 species
GACGAACGCUGGCGGCGUGCUUAACACAUGCAAGUCGAACGAUGAAGCUGGAGCUUGCUCCGGUGGAUUAGUGGCGAACGGGUGAGUAACACGUGAGCAAUCUGCCCUUGACUCUGGGAUAACUGCGGGAAACUGUAGCUAAUACCGGAUACGAGACCUGAAGGCAUCUUCGGGUCUGGAAAGAAUUUCGGUCAAGGAUGAGCUCGCGGUCUAUCAGCUUGUUGGUGAGGUAAUGUCUCACCAAGGCUACGACGGGUAGCCGGCCUGAGAGGGUGACCGGCCACACUGGGACUGAGACACGGCCCAGACUCCUACGGGAGGCAGCAGUGGGGAAUAUUGCACAAUGGGCGAAAGCCUGAUGCAGCAACGCCGCGUGAGGGAUGAAGGCCUUCGGGUUGUAAACCUCUUUUAGCGGGGAAGAAGCGAAAGUGACGGUACCUGCAGAAAAAGCACCGGCUAACUACGUGCCAGCAGCCGCCGUAA